AUACGGAGGAUCCGAGCGUUAUCCGGAUUUAUUGGGUUUAAAGGGUGCGCAGGCGGCCAUUUAAGUCAGCGGUUAAAUCGUGGGGCUCAACCCCAUUCUGCCGUUGAUACUGGGUGGCUUGAUUGCGGUCGAGGUUGGCGGAAUUCGUUGUGUAGCGGUGAAAUGCAUAGAUAUGACGAAGAACACCGAUUGCGUAGGCAGCUGACCAGACCGCAAAUGACGCUCAUGCACGAAAGUGCGGGGAUCGAACAGGAUUAGAUACCCUGGUAGUCCGCACAGUAAACGAUGAAUACUUGUUCUCGGCGAUAUAAUGUCGGAGGCAAAGCGAAAGCGAUAAGUAUUCCACCUGGGGAGUACGCCGGCAACGGUGAAACUCAAAUGAAUUGACGGGG
rnacentral:rRNA from 1 species